CCUACGGGAGGCAGCAGUAGGGAAUAUUGCUCAAUGGGGGAAACCCUGAAGCAGCAACGCCGCGUGGGGGAUGAAGGUUUUCUGAUUGUAAACUCCUUUUUUUAGAGAAGAUAAUGACGGUAUCUGACGAAUAAGCACCGUCUAACUCCGUGCCAGCAGCCGCGGUAAUACGGCGGGUGCAAGCGUUACUCGGAAUCACUGGGCGUAAAGAGCGCGUAGGCGGGAUAGCAAGUCAGAUGUGAAAUCCUAUGGCUUAACCAUAGAACUGCAUUUGAAACUGUUAUUCUAGAGUAUGGGAGAGGUAGGUGGAAUUCUUGGUGUAGGGGUGAAAUCCGUAGAGAUCAAGAGGAAUACUCAUUGCGAAGGCGACCUACUAGAACAUAACUGACGCUGAUGCGCGAAAGCGUGGGGAGCAAACAGGAUUAGAUACCCCAGUAGUC
rnacentral:rRNA from 1 species